GAAGGUGGCAAGCGUUACCCGGAUUGAUUGGGCGUAAAGCGUCCGCAGGCUGUUUAUUUAGUCCUCGGUCAAAUCUUGAAGCUUAACUUCAAGGCUGCCGUGGAAACUGAUAAGCUAGAGGCUGGGAGAGGCGAGCGGAAUUACCGGUGUAGUAGUGAAAUGCGUUAAUAUCGGUAGGAACACCAAAUGCGAAGGCAGCUCGCUGGAACAGACCUGACGCUCAGGGACGAAAGCGUGGGGAGCGAAUGGGGGAUUAGAUACCCCAGUAGUCCACGCCGUAAACGAUGGAUACUAAGCAUUGGCAGUAUCGACCCUGCCAGUGUUGUUUACCUAAGCUAACGCCUUAAGUAUCCCCGCCCUGGAAGUACGGCCGCAAGGCUA
rnacentral:rRNA from 1 species